UACGGAGGGAGCUAGCGUUGUUCGGAAUUACUGGGCGUAAAGCGCGCGUAGGCGGCUUUGUAAGUUAGAGGUGAAAGCCCGGGGCUCAACCCCGGAAUUGCCUUUAAGACUGCAUCGCUAGAAUUGUGGAGAGGUAAGUGGAAUUCCGAGUGUAGAGGUGAAAUUCGUAGAUAUUCGGAAGAACACCAGUGGCGAAGGCGACUUACUGGACACAUAUUGACGCUGAGGUGCGAAAGCGUGGGGAGCAAACAGG
rnacentral:rRNA from 1 species